ACUGGGUGUAAAAGAUAAAUCUUAUUCUAUCUGUUCUUAAUCAGUUUUAGAUAAUUUUAGUUGUAUUUCUUUGUAAUUUUGUGUUGUACAAAGAUUAAUUUAACAUUUUCUCUGGAAGUGUUAAUUUAGGAAGAUAAUAUGCUUCAUUGGUGUUGUGUUUUGAAGUGUGAAAUGCAAAGUAAUUGUGAUAAAGUCAAGAUAAAGUUCACUUUUAAACUGAACUAAAUAAGGUAUCUGAGAGACAACAAUGGUUAAAUGCAAUACAAUGUACAGGUUUUACUAGCGAAACGAAAAUUUUCCUGUCCUGUCUGCUGUAAUCAUUUUAUAUCUGGUAAGUUACAAUUACAACAGUAACGAUUUUUGAAGAUGUUAACAUUUUAAUCUUAUAGGAAAACCAGCCGACUUAAUCGAUAAUAACAAUCUCCAGAUUGGGUUCCUUCAAUAAAUAUGGGCUAUAAACACAAUGAAAUAAGUUCCCCAAAAUCUAAAAUGGAGUGGUAUCAAAGGAGAAUUAAAGGAAAAAAUAUUCAUAUUGAAAUUAUUUAUAAGGCACUGGACUGUCUUAAAUUCUACAAUAAUACUAGAAUCAGCUGAGAGAAGUGGUCUACAAAAAACCAGGAAGGAAACGGAAUAUGUGGCUACGAAAGGCAAAAGAAAGGUUUACAAAGCAAAUGUGACACAUUUUUUUGAAAUAUUUAGGAAUAUCAGUAAAUUGCAUUAAAAGAAUGUAUGAAAAGAUUUUGUUCAAUAAAAAUGUUUAUAUUUA